rnacentral:rRNA from 1 species
CAGUAGCCGCGGGAAUACGUAGGUCCCGAGCGUUGUCCGGAUUUAUUGGGCGUAAAGCGAGCGCAGGCGGUUAGAUAAGUCUGAAGUUAAAGGCUGUGGCUUAACCAUAGUACGCUUUGGAAACUGUUUAACUUGAGUGCAAGAGGGGAGAGUGGAAUUCCAUGUGUAGCGGUGAAAUGCGUAGAUAUAUGGAGGAACACCGGUGGCGAUGGCGACUCUCUGGUCUGUAACUGACGCUGAGGCUCGAAAGCGUGGGGAGCAAACAGGAUUAGAUACCCCCGUAGUCCCUGUCUCUUAUACC